AGUUCGAUUUAGUUCGUGCUUCGGUUCGAAGUCUCCAUCCCUACUUUUAAUUAUUCAGUUCUCUAAUUUUUAAUCUUCAGAAAAUUCUCAAACAAAAACAUUUUUCAAGAUGAACAAUGCUUGCAUCCACUCUAUGGGACCUUAUCUACCUUUACUUUUAACGAAACUUUGUUACACACAUUUCAUAUCUGGAACUCUUCAUUUUCAUACUCAUUAUUUAAAUAUCAUAUCUACAAAAAGUUAUUCAAAUCGAGAUUAUUUAGUCACUUAUAUCUCUAAGUGUCUCGGUCUCCUGAGUCGAAAAGAAUUUCUCCAAAGAAUUGUUUUGGAUUUAUGUCUAACUUGUUAAAGUUCCAGAUCUUAAAGAAUUCAACCAUGUCUUAGCUUUAUCUUUCAUAGUGUAUGGGAAAACCUUCAUUCUAAGAUGUUCAUUGGUGCUUCGCGCCCCGCCCUCUGCGCCUGGCAAAAAAAGCAAAAAGGAACAUAACCUCCCAAUGGGAAGCUUAAAAAAUGAAGAAAGAAAGACUUGUUAGGUGAGAAAUAUGUGUUGGAAAUUUUGAGUAGAAAUUUCAUUAUCCCACAUUGAUCAUUCCUAAAAGGUUUUCUCAUUUUAUAAGAUUAUAUCCCUUAUAAAUAGUGAUUGAAAUGAUGGAAAAUGAAAUUGGGCUCAAUCUUAGGAUUGAGUUUUGGGAGUACUAAUUAAUAUAUAGGGUAACUUACAUUUUCAUACCUCAGAUUUGAGGUCUAUUUCAAUUCCUUACAUCUUCAAAACAUAUCACUUUAUACCUUAAGUAUUAUUUUAUUUCAAAAUAAUACAUCCGUUAUAUUUUCCAUUCAUAAAUCCAUUAAAUGCUGAUGUAGUUGCCACAUAUAUGCCACGUGGCUGUCAAAAUAAUACAUCCGUUACAUUUUCUAUCCAUAAAUCCGUUAAAUGCUGACGUAGCUGCCACAUAUAUGCCACGUGGUUGCCAAAUGUGUAUCACGUGGCAAAAAAAAAUUUAUUUUUUAAAAUUUUUUUCUUAUAAACCUGAAUUAAGUACUAUUUAAAUUAUUAAAAAAAAUUUAAAAAAACCCAAACAAACCCAGAAAACGCAGAACCCAUCUUCUCCCUCCCCUCCCGACCCCCUCACCUUCACCGAGCCCAAACCCCUCCACCUCCGAUGCUCUUCACUGCCACCAUGUCCAACCCUCUCUCCCCUCCCUCCUCCUCAACUCCCACCUCGACGCCAUCCCCGCCGAGCCCGACAAUUGCUUCUGGGUUUGUAAAUGCUUUUUCUAGGUUUCUGGGUUCGUGUUAUGUAACCUCACCCAUCCUCGUCUAUCUGUAACCUCACCCAUCCUCGUUAGAAAUGAAACAGCUAAAAUCACUUUUCUCCCAACUAACCUAAACCCUCACCUUCGCCCUGCUAGCUACCACAAUCAGUGUUCUCACAAAUUAGUGAAAUCACAACCGCCGUUGAUUGAAAAAUUCCAUGGCUUUUUGAAGCAAAUAAAACUUGGGUUGCAGGAAGAAAACCCCAAAAAAAUCCCAAUUCAACGAAAUGGUUGUCCUGGAGACGAAAUCUCAAAUCCCCAUUUUUCUUAGUUCAAAGCUUCAGCUUUCUCUUUAGAAUUAGAAAUGAAUAAAAGUAAGAGAUUAAUUUGUGGGAAAUUAAGAGGCUUGGGUUGUUGGUUUGCAAUGAUGCACAACUAUUGGCUGAAGAAUGAAUUAUUGGUUAUUACAGUGUUGGUGGUUGGUUGGAGAAAAAAAAUAGAGGAAUGUGGGGUGGGGCGGAGUUACCUCUCUGUCUUCGACACCCACAUGGUGGUCAUGGUAGGGAAGAAGUUCAAUGUUGUCGAGGUAGCAGGGAGGAAGAACCGCAGCAAAGUCAUUGAUUUCAGGGCUUUGUGGGGCUUUAAUGUGUUGUUGAACUCGGGGAUUGCUGAAGCCCGAGGCUUCGUGGUGGCUGCAGUGUGUUGUCAAAGGUGAAGGCAGAGAAGAUCCGGGGGCUGAUUGACGGGGUUGGUGAUGAUGGAGGAUGGGAGAAGGGGGGUGCUAGAGUGGGGAAGACGAAGUGGGUCGGGGAGGUGAACAGGGAAGAGUGGAUCGGAGAAGACAUGGAUUUAGGGUUUGGGUUGGG
rnacentral:lncRNA from 1 species